AAAGAGCCAACUGCCAAUCCAAGUUUGACUUAUAUUAGUGCCAAUUAACCGCGAACAGGUAAAGGUAAAAUAUAACAUCCAAAUAGAGUUGAUCCUGGAACCUCUAUAUCUUAUCAAUAUCUUCAUCCUCAAACUCAAUAUAGUCAUCAGCACCGCCUUCUUCCUCGUCUUCAAGACCCCCGGCAAUACCCUCAUUAAGACGUGUGUUCUCUGGAAGCUCUCCAUAUGCCUUCAGAAGCCUAGCCUCAUCAGGCAUGUACUUGAGGAUCACAUCAGCUUUGUCGUCCUGAUAAUCACGAAGACCAACAAGAAUGAUAUCACCGGCUGCAAUCCAAACCUUCUUGUGCAUCUUACCACGGAUGUGACAAAGUCGCUUCGUCCCAUCAAUGCACAUGGCUUCACAGCGACCGU
rnacentral:lncRNA from 1 species